rnacentral:lncRNA from 1 species
AGGUCCAAGUCGUUGUCCUCCUCGUCCAUGGAAGGACGGCACCUGCUGCAUCCAAACUAAACAAAUAAAUAAGCAAGGAUUAACAAACAGAGCAAGCAAGAAUUCAACUUAUAAUGCUAUGUAUUUCCCUGCUGCGUAUACAUAUCAAUUGUGUCAUGAUGGGGGGUUCAGAAUGUACACAACAUAUUUAUGUCAAAUGGUUGAUUAUUUAGAGAAGUUAAACUAAGUGCAGGUCACCCAAAACUGUAUUUCUUGCAAUCCAAACAAUACAAACAACAUGGAGAUGGUUGCAUAGAUACAAAUCCAUGUAGCAGCAAAAUUGACCAAUCUGGAGCUCAUCUUCUGUCUCUCUCUCUGUGUGUGUGUGUGUGUGUGUGUGUGUUUGGUACUAAAUAAAUAAAUAAAUAAACUGGACUUGUUCAUACAAAUCCUUCUUGAAUUCCUUGACACGACCAGGAUUUGCAUCAACUAUUCCUCAACUUAGCAGCAGUAGCGAGCAGAGGAAGAUGAGAGGGAGAUGGAGAUGCUACCUGUCGUGGUGGGUCGGCAUGGACGUGCUUGAGCUCGGGGCAGGACCUCUUGGUCACCCUAGGAGAAGAGGAGCAAACCCCUCCUGCCCCUCCUGCUCGAGCAGAGCACAGCACAAGAACCCACCUCCUGCAUCUGAGGUUGGUUCUCCAAAACCCAUCUCCUGCAGCAAGAUCCAUGGGUGUCCUGCAGCACAACAGAACAUGAAGAAUAGAGCAACAUACACUGUGGUCAGUGUUCAUCCAUGGCUGCAAGAUCGGAUCAAAUCAAACAGAGAAGGGAAAGGGAAGGGCUACCUUGAGGAUCAAAUCUAAUCAGCACCGCUGCCUUGAGCUGCUACUGCUGCUGAGCGUCAUCGUCCACCCCUGCAUGGCUACAUCUGCUGUGGUCGCUGCUGCUGCUUGUCCUUGGGCUGAAUGGAAG